rnacentral:lncRNA from 1 species
AUUUGGUUCUCAAACGUUAAUUUAUUACAAAUUUUGGCUCUAAUUGUUGCAAUUAAGUCCCACGACUUAAUUUAGUUUGCUCAGUAUUGACAAAUUGUUCAUAUAAAAUUGAUGUAGGAAUAUUAUGAUUGAUGAUACGAUCAUAAUUAAGGUAUUAUACCACUUUCUUGUUAAAAUUUGUCAAUAUAUUUUGUUAAAUAAAUUGGAUUUGUGAGACUUGUGAGAAUUCAGAAAGUUCAAGCUAAAAAAUUACAUCAAAUUAAGAUUUGAGGACCAAAGCAUCACGCGACUCAUAGUUU